UCCCAUUUGCGUGCUGUUGCCAGGUGAUGCCGGGCCGCCCGCUCAGCGGCGGGGCAUGGCGGGGUGCUGCGCGGGGGGCCGUGCGGGGUGCUGUGCGUGGUCCCCGGAGCCCCACUGCCGCUCUUGGGCCUCUCUCAGCCGGUCAUCCUCGUCCUCAGCGUCCCAGAUGCUCCAGAAGAGGCUGCGGACGAGGCGGCGGAGGUGCCUGGGGGGGCUGCGCUGUGCGCGUCGGGGCGAGACGCUGCGGGAGCGGUGCGGGGAUCUUCUUUCCCGCCACCGGUGGCUCCUCUGGAGCCUUCUGCGCGGCCGGCGGGUGGUGGCGUUCGCCGGGGGUGGUGGCGGGACGCUCACGAGCGUGCCGAUUAUUUGGCGGCACAGUGGGCAGUUGUUCCUGUCGGCGGCCCAGCGCUCAAUGCAGCGCCUGCAGAAGGUGUGCCUGCAGGGGAUAACGUGGGUCGGGACGUCCAGUGCGUCGAGGCAGAUGGGGCACAUCUCCUCCUCGUGGGCCUCCUCUGGCCGCGCCUGUGCCUCCCGGCUCCCGCUGGCAGCUGCCUCGUGGCUCAUGGCCGCAGCUGCCCUGGCA
rnacentral:lncRNA from 1 species